CCCCAUAAAGCUCACUUGCAUUAACACAUUGGCUCAAUCUCCAGAAGCCCAAAAACCUCUCAACAUGUUGGGAGCAUCUCUCCUUGUCCUUCUGGGCAUCUGGUGCACAGGAUCCAGUUCUCAGCCUACAGUGAUUCAGGAAUCUUCCAUGUCACCUUCCCUUGGACAGACGGUUAAACUCUCUUGUUCCCUGAGCAGUGGACAAGUAACAUCUUACGACCAAUCAUGGUAUCAACAAAAAGAAGGAAGUCCUCCCAGAUUCCUUUAUUAUUACUACAGCAGUGCAACCGCAGGCUCUGGAGACCUCAGCCGCUUCUCUGCCUCCAAGGAAAGCAACCAAAAUAAAUGGUAUUUGACCAUCAGCAACCUCCAGCCAGAAGAUGAGGCUGAUUAUCACUGUGCUGUUUGGUAUGGCUCCAGUAGUGUGUAUCUCUUCGGCCCUGGAACCCAGCUCACAGUCCUAGGUAAGUCUCUUUAAAAUGCAGAUACAAUU